GCUCCUCCUCGAAAGCCUUGAACAGCGCUGGCUCAUUGAUGGGCAUCUUGAUGGACUCUUCAUAGUUGGCCACCACAAUGGAUCGCAGAGAGCUAUAUUCCGUGUGCACCUGCGUGUCAUCCACGGACCAGAAGCGGUGGAACUGCAGGUUUUUCAGGUGGAAGUGUCUUGGAACGAAAUACAUACAGGACGGCAAGGCUCCCACAGAUGGAAGUAAAGUGCUUUGAGAAAAAGGCCCUUGCUUGGAAUUUGGACAGGGGGCUCUCUGGGUGGUGGCAACCUUCCUCCAAGCCUCCCUGGACUGUGAUGUCCCCAGGGUUCCUCAGAAGGAGGGCCUGUGGGUCGCUUUGGGCCUCAAGUCCACUGGUCUCCAUGUUGACAGUUUUACAGUGAAUAAAUGCAUCAGUGGCCUCAGGCUAACUCCCAACAUCUUGUGCUGUAUUUUCCACUUUUAUUUUAUUUUACUUUAUUAUUAUUAUUAUUAUUUUGAGACAAAGUCUCUCUCUCUCACCCAGGCUGGAGUGCAGUGGCGUAAUCUCAGCUCACUGCAACCUCCGCCUUCCUGGUUCAAGCGAUUCUCCUGUCUCAGCUUCCCAAGUAGCUGGGAUUACAGGCACACACUGCCACACCCAGCUAAUUUUUGUAUUUUUAGUAGAGACCGGGGUUCGCCAUGUUGGUCAGGCUGGUCUUGAACUCCUGACCUCAGGUGAUCCACCCGCCUCCGCCUCCCAAAGUGCUGGGAUUACAGGCGUGAGCAAGUGCGCCCGGUCUAUUUUAUUUUAUUUGUUUAUUGGAGACAAAAUCUUGCUCUGUUUCCCAGGCUGGAGUCUCACUCUGUCGCCCAACCUCCACCUCCCGGGUUCAAGCGAUUCUCCUGCCUCAGCCUCUUGAGUAACUGGAAUUACAGGGGCCCAACACCUCGCCCACUGAGUUUUUAUAUUUUUAGUAGAGACGGGGUUUCUCCAUAUUGGUCAGGCUGGUGUUGAACCCCUGACCUCAAGUGAUCCUCCCACCUCGGCUUCCCAGAAUGCUGGGAUUACGGGUGUGAGCCACUGCACCCAGUCGUAUUUUCCAUGUUAGUGCAAGGACCAGGGAGUGGGCCAGUCCACCGUGAGGACCCGUCAUCUUCACGCAGAGGGAGAGGGCCAAGGUCUCACCAUUCGGAGGCGGACACCAUCUCCUGAUCAGGCUGGUUUCCCACAAUGUGGUCGAUCAUCUCCAGACUGCAUUUGGGCCUGGGAAGGGAAGAAGAUGGGGGUGAGAAGGUGGCUACCCCCCAGAUUGCUCCCUUCUCCAUGACCCCUCAAUAAUAAUAAUAGCUCACACUUCUGUUUUUGGAGUUCUAUUUUUUUGUAGAGAUGGAGUCUCUACAAAAAGAGAGACUCUUUUUU
rnacentral:lncRNA from 1 species